ACAAUAGCCAUAAAGUGACCGCUGGAUUCUUUGUCUUUUCGCCCAUGUUAGGAGAGAGUGUGUGAGAUAGGGCCUAGUCUCAAAUAAAAAAUAAUAUUCAAGAUGGCACCUUUUGGAAUAAUCAUAGCUCUCCUAAGUUCUUUUGUUUUAUACACAGAAUCAACAAUUUUACAACAUAAGAAACAUUAUUAUCCAUCUAAAUUUUCAAAGGGAGGACAUUUUUCCGGUGGUUUUAAAGGAGGAUUUGGAAAAUACAGCCAAGCCGGUGGAUUUAAAGGAGGAUAUGGAAAAUAUAACCUAGG